AAGAUUUCAAAACCUGUCUGCCUACACCUACCAGCAACCUAGGCUUGUGAUCAGAAUGAAUGAUCCCAAGAAACUACUUGACCAAGUGUGUUUUGUUGUCCUGGAUUUGAGAUGUGCGUUCUUCCUCCCUCUGAGACUGUUGAUGUAUGAGUGUGAAGAAGUUACAGAAACAAUGCUCAGAUUUUCACGGUAACUUUCCCUCUGCCCACACUGUAGAGUUUCAGAUUGUUCACUGAUAGUGCUUCUUUCGUAAGGAUGUGUUAAAAUUGGCAGUCUUUUUAAAAGAUUAUGCAGUUCUCUAUUUAUUGUGCUGUGCCUGGUCCUAAGUGCAGCCGGUUAAACAAGUUUCAUAUGUAUUUUUCCAGUGUUAAAUCUCAUACCUAUGCCCUUUGGAAAGUUCCAUCCUGAACAAUGAAUAGAAGAGGCUAUAUAAAUUGUCUCCUUAUCCUUAAGAUUUCACUAUCUUUAUGUUAAGAGUAAUGUAUAAUUAUUAAAAUCUAUGAAAAAUAAAAAGUGGAUUUAAAUUAAAAAAAAGAAAGAAAGAAA
rnacentral:lncRNA from 1 species